CCGAAUGCCCAUCUCUCGUGGCGGCGACGGCGGCGGCGUCGGCGGCGUCGGCGUCGGCGGCGUAACGCGGUAAUGAAAAUGGCAACGCGUCGCGACGCCACGCGGGGCGGCCUCGACGGGAUACGUACGGCUGCAAAUUGCGCUGCUUUGUCAAUCUGAAAUAACAUCUGCGCGGAACAAUUAGCGACGACGCGAAGCUUACCGGGAGCUUCGCCGAUCAGCCGGAGGAUCACGUUGCACCGUUGCGGUAUGGCUGACACGUAGACGAGAGUAACUGACGACGGGAGACACCGAAGAGACUGUAGAGAUUUCGCUACGGUAAGCAACAUAUUUUCAGUUCGCAAGCAGAGGAUAGUGAAAGUAUUAAUUCGCAAAAGCAAACGACACAGCACAAGCAACAACCAAGGAAAUGUACCUUCAAGGGAACCCUCAGGAGAGUCCAAUGAGAAAUAUUUCUGGGAGGGCAAUGCAUUUAGUGUGUUAAAUCCACUGCAAAACUACAUGUUAAUAAAAAAAAACAUUGCAAAAGAAA